UGUAGUUCAGUGGUAGAGUGAUUGUCUGCUAUGCACGAGGACUUGGGUUCAAUUCCCAGCA
rnacentral:tRNA from 1 species